rnacentral:lncRNA from 1 species
GCCCUGGAUCAGCUCCGGGUGCCCUGGAUCAGCUCUGGGUGCCCUGGAGCAGAUCCUGGACCAGCUUCUGCUGCUCUGGAUCAGCUCCUGGACCAGCUCCUGGUGCCCUGGAUCAGCUCCUGGACCAGCUCCUGGUGCCUUGGAGCAGCUCCUGGACCAGCUACUGGUGCCCUGGAUCAGCUCUGGGUGCCCUGGAUCAGCUCCUGGAUCAUCUCCUGGUGCCCUGGAUCAGCUCCUGGUGCCCUGGAUCAUCUCCUGGAUCAGCUCUGGAUCAGCUCCUGGUGUCCUGGAUCAGCUCCUGGACCAGCCCCUGCUGCUCCCUCAGCCCCAGCCAGGCACAGGGACACUCCCAGCACGGUCCUGCAGCCAAAGCUGCUGUGAU